AGACCCAUUUGUGCCUCUCUCUCUCUCCCUCCCUCCCUCCCUCUCUCCCUUUCUCUUUUCUCCAUUUUUGCUUAAGCUUCAAGCUUAAAGUGUGAGUCUUUAAAGUGAGAUUUUACAAAAGCGUUGUAAAUGAAAGUCGGAGAACUCGUCGUGAUCUUUGCAAUGGUGGUCUCGGAUCCAUGAUCGGGCGAUGUUUGCAUUUUUGGAUUUGCUUUUCUUCAUAUUUGAGGGGCCUCUAGUGACGGGUUCUGUUUAGUACUUCCAUUUUUAUCGAAAUUUCCCAUCCCAUCAGACAUUAAUGCUCAUGAUUCUAAGAUUCAGAAUGAGUUGUAUUGGAGAAAAUCAGAGCAUACGGCAUCUCAGUGACUAGCCUUUUAUUGCCUCUUUGUAACGUAUUUUUUUAUGGCAAUUUUUUUAAUUUUUUUUAUUGAACUUCUAAUGGAUUGCAUUUUGAAGGCAUUUGACAGUAUCUAUGUUAAACUUUUCUAAUAUGGAUUGUGUUAUGGAUUUAGACUUGUUGA